rnacentral:snRNA from 1 species
UGGGGAAGACACCAUCUUC